rnacentral:rRNA from 1 species
GACGUAGGGCGCGAGCGUUGUCCGGAAUUACUGGGCGUAAAGAGCUUGUAGGUGGUUUGUCGCGUUGUUCGUGAAAUCUCACGGCUUAACUGUGAGCGUGCGGGCGAUACGGGCAGACUAGAGUACUGCAGGGGAGACUGGAAUUCCUGGUGUAGCGGUGGAAUGCGCAGAUAUCAGGAGGAACACCGGUGGCGAAGGCGGGUCUCUGGGCAGUAACUGACGCUGAGAAGCGAAAGCGUGGGGAGCGAACAGG